CACGUAGGGGGCGAGCGUUGUCCGGAUUUAUUGGGCGUAAAGAGCUCGUAGGCGGUUUCGUUAGUCGGGUGUGAAAACCCCAGGCUCAACCUGGGGACGCCACCCGAUACUGCGAUGACUAGAGUCCGGUAGGGGAGUGUGGAAUUCCUGGUGUAGCGGUGAAAUGCGCAGAUAUCAGGAGGAACACCAACGGCGAAGGCAGCACUCUGGGCCGGAACUGACGCUGAGGAGCGAAAAGCGUGGGUAGCGAACAGG
rnacentral:rRNA from 1 species